rnacentral:snoRNA from 1 species
GCUUGGCUGAAUUCUGUGUUCUUUUCAGUCAUUUACACAGCCAGACACCAUGGAGAAGUAUCAUCUUCCCUUUAUAAUGUUCAUGAUGUAUUGUAAGUUCUUUUUCAUGGCAUGUUAUUAUUAAAGGUGAAUACAGAC